rnacentral:rRNA from 1 species
UGAAACCGUGUGCUUACAAGUAGUCAGAGCCCGUUAAUGGGUGAUGGCGUGCCUUUUGUAGAAUGAACCGGCGAGUUACGAUUUGAUGCAAGGUUAAGCAGUAAAUGUGGAGCCGUAGCGAAAGCGAGUCUGAAUAGGGCGUUUAGUAUUUGGUCGUAGACCCGAAACCAGGUGAUCUACCCUUGGUCAGGUUGAAGUUCAGGUAACACUGAAUGGAGGACCGAACCGACUUACGUUGAAAAGUGAGCGGAUGAACUGAGGGUAGCGGAGAAAUUCCAAUCGAACCUGGAGAUAGCUGGUUCUCUCCGAAAUAGCUUUAGGGCUAGCCUCAAGUGAUGAUUAUUGGAGGUAGAGCACUGUUUGGACGAGGGGCCCCUCUCGGGUUACCGAAUUCAGACAAACUCCGAAUGCCAAUUAAUUUAACUUGGGAGUCAGAACAUGGGUGAUAAGGUCCGUGUUCGAAAGGGAAACAGCCCAGACCACCAGCUAAGGUCCCAAAAUAUAUGUUAAGUGGAAAAGGAUGUGGCGUUGCCCAGACAACUAGGAUGUUGGCUUAGAAGCAGCCAUCAUUUAAAGAGUGCGUAAUAGCUCACUAGUCGAGUGACACUGCGCCGAAAAUGUACCGGGGCUAAACAUAUUACCGAAGCUGUGGAUUGUCCUUUGGACAAUGGUAGGAGAGCGUUCUAAGGGCGUUGAAGCAUGAUCGUAAGGACAUGUGGAGCGCUUAGAAGUGAGAAUGCCGGUGUGAGUAGCGAAAGACGGGUGAGAAUCCCGUCCACCGAUUGACUAAGGUUUCCAGAGGAAGGCUCGUCCGCUCUGGGUUAGUCGGGUCCUAAGCUGAGGCCGACAGGCGUAGGCGAUGGAUAACAGGUUGAUAUUCCUGUACCACCUAUAAUCGUUUUAAUCGAUGGGGGGACGCAGUAGGAUAGGCGAAGCGUGCGAUUGGAUUGCACGUCUAAGCAGUAAGGCUGAGUAUUAGGCAAAUCCGGUACUCGUUAAGGCUGAGCUGUGAUGGGGAGAAGACAUUGUGUCUUCGAGUCGUUGAUUUCACACUGCCGAGAAAAGCCUCUAGAUAGAAAAUAGGUGCCCGUACCGCAAACCGACACAGGUAGUCAAGAUGAGAAUUCUAAGGUGAGCGAGCGAACUCUCGUUAAGGAACUCGGCAAAAUGACCCCGUAACUUCGGGAGAAGGGGUGCUCUUUAGGGUUAACGCCCAGAAGAGCCGCAGUGAAUAGGCCCAAGCGACUGUUUAUCAAAAACACAGGUCUCUGCUAAACCGUAAGGUGAUGUAUAGGGGCUGACGCCUGCCCGGUGCUGGAAGGUUAAGAGGAGUGGUUAGCUUCUGCGAAGCUACGAAUCGAAGCCCCAGUAAACGGCGGCCGUAACUAUAACGGUCCUAAGGUAGCGAAAUUCCUUGUCGGGUAAGUUCCGACCCGCACGAAAGGCGUAACGAUUUGGGCACUGUCUCAACGAGAGACUCGGUGAAAUCAUAGUACCUGUGAAGAUGCAGGUUACCCGCGACAGGACGGAAAGACCCCGUGGAGCUUUACUGUAGCCUGAUAUUGAAAUUCGGCACAGCUUGUACAGGAUAGGUAGGAGCCUUUGAAACGUGAGCGCUAGCUUACGUGGAGGCGCUGGUGGGAUACUACCCUAGCUGUGUUGGCUUUCUAACCCGCACUACUUAUCGUGGUGGGAGACAGUGUCAGGCGGUCAGUUUGACUGGGGCGGUCGCCUCCUAAAAGGUAACGGAGGCGCUCAAAGGUUCCCUCAGAAUGGUUGGAAAUCAUUCAUAGAGUGUAA